GGGCCUUCUACGGAACCCUAACCCUAGACGCCUUUGUUCCCGGCUCCCCGUCCCCUAUAUAUACGCCCUCAAUAUCCUCACUUCGUGAUAUCAAUCCUAAAACCCUAACUCCAUUCUUCGCUCGACCUCUCUCCUACCUCCCAUCACCAUCCCUUUCCUUCUCGUCCGAUCUCCUGAACGCUUUUCUUGGUUCUCUUUGGCGGCUGAUGAUGAUUGAUCUCAAAGAUCUUAGCGGAUUUCAGUGAGGCCGCGCGUCGAUGAUCUGAUCUCAUGUUGUUACACACACUGAAGCCCCUGUGAUGUGGGCCACAACAAAAGUGGCCCAACCAAGAUGCGGACUGAACAGCGCUUCAUGCGCCUUUGUGGACAGCAAGUGCCGUCUGAUGGUUCUCCAUCCCACAUUUCUUUCUUUCUUUCUUUCCAGUAAUCUUUUUUCAGUUCCCACAUGUUUGAUAUGUGGCAAAUUUUAAAUCAGAUGAAUUUCUGAUAUAAGUUAUGUGUUGGAUUACUCAGCAGUCUUCUAACAUUUUGAUUCUGUGCAGAGAUGAAUUGAAGACUUCUCACACCAUUAUUGGGUGAAAUACCAAAAUUAGAUGGAUGAAGUUUUUUCUUAAAUAAUUUUUUUUCAUAACGUGAGAUAAGAGGGAACAUUCAAAGGGAGUGGUGAAUCCCCAGUCUUCAUACUCAUUAAGGAUAAAUAAAUAAAUCUAAAAUUUAUUAGCUUAAAUUUAAACCUGAUAACUUUGAUUGUACCCUCUCAUUCAGGGCUGGAUUUGACUAGUAUCCUUGCUUUCUUCUCUUCUUGCUGCUUUGGUGAUGCAAAGUGGGAUAAAUGUAGAUUCCCUCCAGCAACCAACAUUUUUUUCUUUUAGCUUUCAGAAGAAAUCAAUGUAGUCUAGCUUCUCUAUAAAAAGACAUGGAACGUUUGGCAAACCUCAUACUUCUAACCAAUUGAGAUAAUUUAAAGAAUUUAGUCAAAGAGAUCAGU